GAUCCUGGCUCAGGGUGAACGCUAGCUACAGGCUUAACACAUGCAAGUCGAGGGGCAGCAUGAAAGGAACUUCGGUUCUUUUUGAUGGCGACCGGCGCACGGGUGCGUAACGCGUAUCGAACCUGCCUCAUACUCGGGGAUAGCCUUGCGAAAGUAAGAUUAAUACCCGGCGGUCUCGGAUGGCCGCAUGACUAUCCGAGUGAAGAUUUAUCGGUAUGAGAUGGCAAUGCGUCCCAUUAG
rnacentral:rRNA from 1 species